rnacentral:misc_RNA from 1 species
GAUGAAGAACUUAGCGAAAUGCGAUAAGUAAUGUGAAUUGCAGAGUUCAGUGAAUCAUCGAAUCUUUGAACGCACAUUGCGCCCCCUGGUAUUCCGGGGGGCAUGCCUGUCCGAGCGUCAUUACAACCCUCAAGCUCAGCUUGGUGUUGGGCCCCGCCGCCCCGGCGGGCCCUAAAGUCAGUGGCGGUGCCGUCCGGCUCCGAGCGUAGUAAUUCUUCUCGCUCUGGAGGCCCGGUCGUGUGCUCGCCAGCAACCCCCAAUUUUUUUCAGGUUGACCUCGGAUCAGGUAGGGAUACCCGCUGAACUUAAGCAUAUCAAUAAGCGGAGGA